rnacentral:rRNA from 1 species
CAGUCGCCGCGGUAAUACAGAUGGUGCAAGCGUUAAUCGGAAUUACUGGGCGUAAAGCGCGCGUAGGUGGUUUGUUAAGUUGGAUGUGAAAGCCCCGGGCUCAACCUGGGAACUGCAUCCAAAACUGGCAAGCUAGAGUACGGUAGAGGGUGGUGGAAUUUCCUGUGUAGCGGUGAAAUGCGUAGAUAUAGGAAGGAACACCAGUGGCGAAGGCGACCACCUGGACUGAUACUGACACUGAGGUGCGAAAGCGUGGGGAGCAAACAGGAUUAGAUACCCCUGUAGUCCCUGUCUCUUAUAC